CCUGCCAUCUAGAAGCCUUACAGGUGUGGCUGCUAUAUCAUGUCUGUCAGUAGAUGGCAGAGAGGAGAGAAGCUAUGUCUAGCUCAGUGUUCUGACCCAUGAAUAAUUUACCUCA
rnacentral:snoRNA from 1 species